rnacentral:rRNA from 1 species
AGUGGGGAAUAUUGCACAAUGGACGAAAGUCUGAUGCAGCAACGCCGCGUGGAGGAUGACACAUUUCGGUGCGUAAACUCCUUUUAUAUGAGAAGAAAAUGACGGUAUCAUAUGAAUAAGCGCCGGCUAACUCCGUGCCAGCAGCCGCGGUAAUACGGAGGGCGCAAGCGUUACUCGGAAUCACUGGGCGUAAAGAGCGUGUAGGCGGGUAUUUAAGUUGGAAGUGAAAUCCUAUGGCUCAACCAUAGAACUGCUUCCAAAACUGAAUACCUAGAAUAUGGGAGAGGUAGAUGGAAUUUCUGGUGUAGGGGUAAAAUCCGUAGAGAUCAGAAGGAAUACCGAUUGCGAAGGCGAUCUACUGGAACAUUAUUGACGCUGAGACGCGAAAGCGUGGGGAGCAAACAGGAUUAGAUACCCUGGUAGUCCACGCCCUAAACGAUGUACAUUAGUUGUUGUGAUGCUAGACAUUGCAGUAAUGCAGUUAACACAUUAAAUGUACCGCCUGGGGAGUACGGUCGCAAGAUUAAAACUCAAAGGAAUAGACGGGGACCCGCACAAGCGGUGGAGCAUGUGGUUUAAUUCGACGAUACGCGAAGAACCUUACCUGGCCUUGACAUACCAAGAAGCUAAUAGAGAUAUAAGUGUGCUAGUUUACUAGAGCUUGGAUACAGGUGCUGCACGGCUGUCGUCAGCUCGUGUCGUGAGAUGUUAGGUUAAGUCCUGCAACGAGCGCAACCCUCGUGUUUAGUUACUAACAGAUUAUGCUGAGGACUCUAGACAUACUGCCUGGGCAACCAGGAGGAAGGUGAGGACGACGUCAAGUCAUCAUGGCCCUUACGGCCAGGGCUACACACGUGCUACAAUGGGGUAUACAAAGAGCCGCAAUACCGCGAGGUGGAGCAAAUCUCAUAAAAUAUCUCCCAGUUCGGAUUGUUCUCUGCAACUCGAGAACAUGAAGUUGGAAUCGCUAGUAAUCGUAGAUCAGCAAUGCUACGGUGAAUACGU